rnacentral:rRNA from 1 species
UGCGUAGGCGGCGCGGUAAGUCGGAUGUGAAAUCUCGGGGCUUAACUCCGAAACUGCAUUCGAUACUGCCGUGCUUGAGGACUGGAGAGGAGACUGGAAUUUACGGUGUAGCGGUGAAAUGCGUAGAUAUCGUAAGGAAGACCAGUGGCGAAGGCGGGUCUCUGGACAGUUCCUGACGCUGAGGCACGAAGGCCAGGGAGGCAAACG